GAUCCUGGCUCAGGAUGAACGCUAGCGGCAGGCUUAAUACAUGCAAGUCGAGGGGCAGCAGGGUAGCAAUAUCGCUGGCGACCGGCGCACGGGUGCGUAACACGUAUACAAUCUGCCUUUAACAGGGGGAUAGCCCGGAGAAAUCCGGAUUAAUACCCCAUAAUAGUAGAACUGGCAUCAGUUUAUUGAAAGCUCCGGCGGUUAAAGAUGAGUAUGCGUCUGAUUAGCUAGUUGGUGAGGUAACGGCUCACCAAGGCGACGAUCAGUAGGGGAUCUGAGAGGAUUAACCCCCCACACGGAUACUGAGACACGGAUCCGACUCCUACGGGAGGCAGCAGUAAGGAAUAUUGGACAAUGCCCGCAAGGGUGAUCCAGCCAUGCCGCGUGCAGGAAGACGGCCCUAUGGGUUGUAAACUGCUUUUACACCGGAGAAAACCUCCCCUCGUGAGGGGAGCUGAUAGUAUGGUGAGAAUAAGCAUCGGCUAACUUCGUG
rnacentral:rRNA from 1 species